GACGAACCGUGCGAACGUUGUUCGGAAUCACUGGGCUUAAAGGGCGCGUAGGCGGGCUGCCAAGUCUGGGGUGAAAUCCCGCGGCUCAACCGUGGAACUGCCUCAGAUACUGGCGGCCUCGAGGGAGGUAGGGGCGAGCGGAACUGAUGGUGGAGCGGUGAAAUGCGUUGAUAUCAUCAGGAACUCCGGUGGCGAAGGCGGCUCGCUGGACCUCUUCUGACGCUGAGGCGCGAAAGCUAGGGGAGCAAACGGG
rnacentral:rRNA from 1 species